rnacentral:rRNA from 1 species
AUGAGGGCGGCACGUACAGAGCUUAAUCAUUUCAACAAGACCAAGAAAAAAAAACAAAAAGUGACUGCUCUGCCCAUGGCUGGUCCUGCACCACCUCAGAGUCGUAGUACGGCGCACCCUGGUCACAUACCACCAACUACCACUGGUCCUAUGGCAGCCAAUUCAGCUGCUAUAACAACACCAGGCUCAGGGUGGUCUACGCCAAUUGCAGGGGUUCUUAAGGAUCCACCUAAAUCAACAACUAAAGGCCGUGCGAAAAGUAAACGGUUGCAGUCAGCACUGGAGUUGCAUCCGAAGAGGAAGAACAAAUGCUCCUUCUGCGAUUCAUCUGAACACAAUGCAGCAAAUUGCCCUGGUCGUUUGGUUUGA